AAGGAGCGCCACUGUGUUUUAAUGAGUAAUUCCAUUUAUUUAGCUUCAGAUCACCCCACACUCUAUUUUUAUGAAAUUGAUUUUUUUUUUUUUUCCCCCAAUUUUCAUCUCCAGCAUCUAAUCUUAGGGUUAGGGUUAACCCUAAUAGAAUACUCAUCUGGCUAUGUGGUGGGUGGCAGGUGGAUACCAUGUUAAAUGGGAGCCAGAUUGGCAGGCAGAUUACACAUUGAAUAGAAGAUAGAUUGAUAGGUGGAUUGCAUGUUGAAUGAGAGGUGGAUUGGAUUGAUAGGCAGAUAGAUUACAUAUUGAAUGGUGGUGGAUGAGGAGAGGAUCAUACAAUGGAACAAUCA
rnacentral:sRNA from 1 species